rnacentral:misc_RNA from 1 species
UUUUCAGCAAACUUGGCAUGGAACACCACAAAUCCUCGACCUGUAGGCCUGUAUUUUGCGCCUCCAUGAAGCAAAGUCCUUCCAUAAUAGUGUGUCUUGGUUCCGAGAGAAAAUGUGAAAAAUACAGGUGCAAGUUGCAGUUGCAUUAAUAUAAAUUCACUAAGUGCAGUUCGGAAUCCCCUUUCCAGGCCAAUUUCCAUCAGCAUAGGCAAGGCCAUCAAAUAUCCAAUUUGAACAAAAGCUUGAGAAGCAAGAGCCACCUGUAGAGGUUUAUUAUCUCUAAUUGCUUUCUGAUUAAUUAAACCUUCCUCAAGACCACUCAGAACGAGAUAAAGACGCCCAUAAAGGAACACAUAUACGGUUAGCACAGUUAUCAGAGUACUGAAGUAGAAACCAACUGUGGUGAAAUAGCAAGACAACAUACGGAAAAAGUCAAAGCGGUGUCCCAGCCGAUACAUAUCACGACUCAAAGUCUGCUCACCAUUGCCAUUAGCAAUUUUGGCCUCAAACAUAGAAAUCUGAUUGAGUCCCACAUCCCUCCCCUUCCCGACUUGUAUGUAUUCAUGAUGCGUAACAUUGCCUUCGCGAAGUGUAGAAUUGAAACCUGCAAAUAUGUCUUCACUCAAAUUGAUAACCUUGGAUGCUUUACUAACACCCCCUCUAGUGAGGUGAAAAAGCCGAUCAAACACAUCUGGAUGACCAUAGUGGAACCGAACCUUUAGCGGGUUGGCCAAGAGCCUUUGACCUAUAGUUACAAAGCUGGUCUCCUGAUUUGACAUAAACCAUGCAAGAGAUGAAACACUUCCCGUAAAUAUAUGUUCCCUGAGUCCAAGUAUUGAAGGAUGUCUCACACCAUCAUGCUUUUUAAGAAAUUCUUCCAGCAAAUUCCUCAUUUUUAAAGCUUCUUCCAUGUAGUUAUCCUGGUUCAUAUCUAUUGUUUGCAAGCCUUCUCCACGUGUAAAGAUAAUAGCAUGAUUUUGGUUUUCAGGUUUUCCCUCACCCAAGAUUGCUGGUCCUGGAAGUUUGAUUCGAUAAAUGACCUCAUCCAAAUUCUGUACUGGCUCCAAAGAAUCAAUAGACUUGGGUGAGGCUGCCUUCACAAGAGCAGAAUAGUAAACUUUUUGGUUGCUCUUCUUGGAUUUGUCUUGGCUAGUCACUUCAACCUCAUCAAUAUAUGCCACACGGAGCGAUGGAUAUUUUGUCAUGAGUCUUAAAAUGUCCUGUGCUCGUGCAUGACCAGAUCGCUUAUCAAUACCAUACUGUUGGCACGAUACCACAUAUGUGAAUUUCAUGUCAGCUAAAGCUUGACAACUUGUCAACAGUGACCUUUCUCCCUUCGACUGAUCGUCUGUAUUUAAUUCUAUAGCUUUAUAGCCCUCCAUCAAAUCUUCAUGUUUUGCCAUAUCAAGGAAAGCCUGAAGCUCCAAUGCCUUGCGAUAAUACAUCAUACCUCUUACAGUUCUAGUCAAUGUCUGGCCCCUAUAUGACGCCCAUAGACGAAGAUCUUCUUCUAAUUCCUCUGUUCCUUUCACUCCUUCACUUCUGCUUUUUACUCGCUCAAGAAUGUCUUUGAGUUCUUCUUCACUUCUGCAGUCUACUCGCUCAAGAAAGUUGUUCCAUUCAUCUGGAAAGAUUUUUUGCAAGUAAAAGAGGAUUGAAACACCAUCUUCAUUUGGCACUUCCAAAUCUUUCAAGGAAAAUAGCACCUCCUCCAUGUAGUACGGAGUUAAAACAGAGAAAGAAAGCAUAUUGCGAACUUUAGGAGCAGCAGGCAUUUCCAUAAACAAAGAAUUUGAGAAGAAAGAAAUGCGCCUCCUAGCUUCUAAGUUCGANNNNAGAUUCUUUUGUUGUAAGCAAAAGAUCAAGCCUCUUGAUCUUCUCUUUCCAUGCCUCUGUUACUGGAUCAAUAGGAAACUUGAUAGCUCCAGAAGAUGCAAACAACUGAUAUUGUUGAUCAAGAGAAGUCAUUGCCUCUCCAUAUCCACCAUGCACUGAAUCCACUAAACUCGAUAUAUGAUCCUCCAUCAUUAUGUCUCGUGUCACAACCUCUAGCAUGUCCUGGAAGAGAAUCACAACUUGAUCCCUGUCAUCCUGUUUGUUCUCUAACAAAUAUUUGAUAAGCUUCACAAAAUGGUCAUAGAGGCUAGGAAGAGCGCUCAUCCUGUAUUCGCUUAUCAGGGUACCUUCAUCAAUAUGUUUGUCAACUUCUGAAAAUAUGAAAUCGAUCACCUCUUUCUCACGUUUUCCUUGAACCAAUGCCUUGAUGAUGUUCCUAAAUGAAGCAUAACAUUCACGAACAGCACAAGACAUGUAGCUGCCACCCUCGAUCCUCUUUUUCAGCUCUUUAUCUUUACCAUUACUGUCCU